CACGUAGGGUGCGAGCGUUGUCCGGAAUUAUUGGGCGUAAAGAGCUCGUAGGCGGUGUGUCGCGUCGGAUGUGAAAGCCCGGGGCUUAACUCCGGGUCUGCAUUCGAUACGGGCAGGCUAGAGUUCGGUAGGGGAGAUCGGAAUUCCUGGUGUAGCGGUGAAAUGCGCAGAUAUCAGGAGGAACACCGGUGGCGAAGGCGGAUCUCUGGGGCCGAUACUGACGCUGAGGAGCGAAAGCGUGGGGAGCGAACAGG
rnacentral:rRNA from 1 species